UUCUGCUGGGACAGACACACCCUUCUU
rnacentral:piRNA from 1 species